rnacentral:rRNA from 1 species
UACGGAAGGCAGCAGUGGGGAAUAUUGCACAAUGGGCGCAAGCCUGAUGCAGCCAUGCCGCGUGUAUGAAAAAGGCCUUCGGGUUGUAAAGUACUUUCAGUCGUGAGGAAGGUGUUAAGGUUAAUAACCUUAGCAAUUGACGUUAGCGACAGAAGAAGCACCGGCUAACUCCGUGCCAGCAGCCGCGGUAAUACGGAGGGUGCGAGCGUUAAUCGGAAUUACUGGGCGUAAAGGGCACGCAGGCGGUUAAUUAAGUUGGAUGUGAAAUCCCCGGGCUUAACCUGGGAAUGGCAUUCAAGCUGGUUAGCUAGAGUCUUGUAGAGGGGGUAGAAUUCCAUGUGUAGCGGUGAAAUGCGUAGAGAUGUGGAGGAAUACCGGUGGCGAAGGCGGCCCCUGGACAAGACUGACGCUCAUGUGCGAAAGCGUGGGGAGCAAACAGGGAUUAGAUACC